ACGGUGAGGAGGACAAGGCUUUCUCUGUGCUCCAGAGGGUAUCUGGCAGCAGUUAUUCCCUGAACUGUGUUGGCAAGCCUUCCAGUUACUGGCCAUCAUGUCCUCUGUUUAGUAUCAAUCCUAUUCAUUAUCUGAGCAGAAAUAAAAAUGAAUCCUUCUGCUCAUUUAGUUGUGCUUAAACAGGGUCUUUUCCUGGCAAAAUAAUGGUAGUAACAGAAGGAAUUUUUUUCCAACUCCUGGCUUCUGUAGCCGGCCUGAGAGGAAUUUCCAGUGUAGACCUGGGAACAGGUCUACAGGCAGGAGGUUUAUAUCAGUCCUCAAGUUUCACAGCUGGGAUCCAGAAACAAUUUUUCUCUUCGUUGCCAAAUAGCAGAGCUUAAUUUUUUUUUUUUUUUUUGGGGGGGGGCAGAUCUUUCUUUUGAAUUUCCUUCACUAUGUACUCCAGCCAUGUCCAGGGAAGCCCCUAGACUUUGGUCUGGUUGCACUGUCAGUGCUGCUGUUUUGUUUGAUGCAGAUGGGAAGCAGUUCAGGAGGAACUUAGGUGUGAACAGGUGGCUAAACCCACACCUCUGAGAGCUGAAGAGGACAGCUCUGUUCACUCCUGACCUGUAAAACAGAGUGACUAACUCAGAUUAGAUUUGAAGUGUCUCUGUAGUGAGAGAAGAUAAGAUUUGUGUUGCUUGUUUAGGGAAAAACAAAUUAGAUGCAGUGAAAGGCCUGAAGGGAAGGAGGGAAGACUAUCCUGAGAAAGACAAUACAUUCGGUAUUGCCCUGACCCUGUAAAAGAGAAAGGGGGCAGCGACAGCUGAUCUAGAUUAGAUCCAGAGAGAGGGUUGGGACUUCAAUAAGAUCAUCUUCAAAGCUUAAGCCCUGAUUUCAAUAUUUGUUUUCUCAUCUUGGGCAGUAGCUGGCUUGAGGAUACUGCUUCAGGCACACCUUGAAUACAAAAUAGCGUGAAAUUCAAAGUGAUCAAAGAAAUAGAUAAGAAUAAGUCACUCGGGAGGUGAGAACUUUAACCAACACUGAAAUUAUACAGAAAUUCCAAGAUCAGUCAAGUAGGAUGUCUUAACAUAUUUUAUCAUGGCUAAAUGCCUGUUACUGUGGGCCUUUCUAGCAAGUGUCUUUUGAUACACUAGAAAGAAUCAGCAAAAGAGCAGUUCUCAUGGCUCUUUGAAAAACUCCUAGUUUUUAAAAACUGAAGUAAGAGUUGAAUUCCUGCCUGAAAUCCUGUAUCACAGACUGUGUCUCACAGGGUGAAACCCUGUGUUCAAACAUGUGCACAUCUUCACUAUACCCAAGCCCUUUGUUGUUAUGGAUUAUUCCUUUUAGAGGUCCCUGAGGACUUUUAAGUAAUUUUCUUAUAAUUAGGGGUACAUGGUGAAGCAUGCACAACAGCACUCAAAAUGUUCCUCAUGCUGCAUUAGCUGGCACACUCCUUCUAAGGGGCAUCUGGUUUGGGCUGAAGGGUUUUUCUAGUUCAUGUUUGUAGAGCUUGUCUUACAUCAAAAGAGAACCAAGAAAAAAGGGAACAAAAUCUUAAAACCAUUCUCUUUCCUCUGCCGCUACUGUGAAAUAUGUUCCCAAGAAUGAGAGCAGGUCAAAUUAUUCAGCGUUGGUAUAUAAGUGCUUUGGGAAGGGUUACUAGGGCAUUUCCAUUAUUUGCUGUGGUUGUUCAGUGGUUGUGACAUUUAGAGGGUACUUUGAAGAAAAUAGCCCAGCUGGUAAAUGACAGCAGAGAAAGGGGAAGGAAAGCAAAUGGAGAGGAGGGAAAUUCACACAGAUUUCCUGACAAGAUGAAAGGGUAAAGAAAACUCAGUGAGUUCUUAUUCAAAAACCAUUUUGGUGGCCUCUGUUUGAAUGAGAGAACUGUUUCUUAGCAUGCUUAGCAACUACUUGGUCCCGUCCAGGAGUACACUCCACCAAAUGUCUGCUGUGUUUAACACCACAGUCAACUUUGUAAUGUGUGAUGAGAAUUAUUUUUACAGCUGAGCUUCUUAAGAGAGGCCCACGUGGUGUGUAAGUCCUGGUGGGUUUUAACACACCUCUGUUGCAUUAAAGAGGGAAACACUGAUCUUCACCAGGACUUUUAAGGUACACAAAAGUAUUAACAUCCAAUGUUUAAACCAGAUGAGAAGCAGCCUGAGAACCUGGUGUCCUCCACAGGGAACCCAGUGUGUGCAUGUGGGGAGACAAGGACAAUGACAGUACUUUCUCUGCUGAUUCUCAGCACAGUUUUGGUCAUAUCGCCUUUCCCAUAUGUCCUCCGGUGUCACAACCUGCAAAGGAGACAAAAUAGUGAUUUCUACACCAGAUGGACACUGUGAGAAUGUAGCAUUUGUACACAGCUUUAGUAAAAGUUUCAGUAAGUCUCAGUGCUCUGAUAUCAGGUGAUGGCAUAAAUAUUUCUUGGUACUUAAAUAAAAACGGUGAGUUUGGAGACAAAAUAUAAGUGUGGCAUGGAAGAGAUUCUUGUGGCAGGAGCGCAUUCCUAUUUGGAGUGUGACUUUGAGAAAAUUGCUUAACCUGUCUUCUAUGUGUUUAUUUCCCAACUCUAAAGCCAUGUUGAUAUGUUGUUGCCUUGUUUGCUGGAUUGCAUGAGCAAAUUAAUCAACCUCUGGGAGAAAUUCAGAUAUUACAGUGAUAUAAAUAGAGCUGGCCAGGAAACUUCUCAAAUCCUUCAACUUUAUUGCACAUCAAGAUAAAACAAUCUUUCAAAGGUUGUUUAGUGGAUCGGUAAUUAAAAUAAAUACAUACAUAGAACAAACAUCAUUUUGGCAGUAAGUGUGCUCCCAAGGGAUGUGGAUUCAUAUUCAAAUUGCCAUUAACUACAUAGAGGGUCUUGAACCUGGGGCUUUCCUUUCCUGGAAAACUGUUCAGAGUUGGGGUACUUGGUUAACAAAAGCUGCUUGUGUUAAAAUUAAAAAAAAAAAAACCAACAUGGAAAUCUGACUGGCUCUGAACAUAGUAAGAAUACAAGGAAUGUUAUUCAGAAGUGCAAAAUUUAAAUAUGGACCAACCUCACAGAGAAAGCAAGGUGCGAGGAGCAAGAAGAGAAGAAAAAAAAGGAAGGGAACACAAAAAGGCCUGCAUAUCUAUCACCAAAUGUGUCUUUUCCAAAGCAUGUGGAAAAAAAGCAUCAUGAAGAGUGCAACACAGCAGGCUAGGUGUAGAUUGAAUACAUAAACCCAUCCCCAAAGCACUGAAUAGUGAGGUGUGAAAGAGAGAAAUUUAGAGAAAGGAGAGCUAUGUCAGCAGUAGCAUGAAAACCUAGAGACUAACAUGGCCUUGUUUAAGAGAAAUUAGAGGCAAGGAGAGAGGGGAGGGAGAAAGUGUUGAUGCACUAUAAGAUUAUCACACAUUUCUAAAGAGGUCUGAAAGAACUGACUUCCUGCUGUGGGGUUCCUCUCAUAUUGGUGUGAACAAGCAUCACACUAUCACCUGCAAAGUCUUUAAGUGCAAGUGGUGACACUUCAGUAUUCACAGCCUGCCUUAGAAAAUCCCGGGGAAGCAAAAGAAAGAUGAAAACCAUGCAAGUCAAAAGGGUGUUGCUCCCAUUGUUCUCCUUGCUGCUUGGUUAACUGGGAAUCCCUUUGAGCAACAGAGAGGUCACAUCUGCCCAGAUGUGCUCUGCUUGCACCCCAGUGCAGGGUAGUGUGGAAGCAGCUCCCUAUAAACCCCUUUCAUGAUAACAGUACAAUGAAAUCACCCUGCUUGGCAGGAUGCCAGUUCUCACCACAAAAGCAUGAUUUUAGCAGAAUAUAUAUGUGCAAGAAGAAUACCUGUGGAAGAUGAUUACCCUGUGACAUGGCAGCACAGUCCCUUUUACAGGAUGGGUAGGACUGAAACCACUCAGGAAUCCAUAAAGUCCUUGUUCAGUUCAAGACAGUCCUAAGACUGAACCUGAGUUACCAAAGAUAAGAAAGGGUGCAUCUAGACCCUCUCCAGGUAGGACCUUGGUCAUGAUUGAUGCACCCCUGGCCAUGAGCUCCUGCCAGUCCCGGCCCACUGGUGUGAGGAUUGAAUUUGCUAUCAAGAACAUGAAGAUCUGAAGCUGAAGGAAGCCACUGUGGCUGUGACAGGAAGGACCCUGAGCUUCACAGUAAAACAACAAUAAACAGGUCAUGCACCAAAAACAGAGGGGAAAGGAAAAUUAGCCUGAGUUUUUGACACCAGGUAAAAUAAUUUAUAGAUAGGGUCACUGGAAGAUAAUGCUGAACUCAAGAAAGGUAUUAGCCAUGUCCAUGUGUUUUGCUGCAUAUGUUUCAUACCUUGUAGACAAUGCAGGACCACUGAGCUCUCCAAAGAGAAGCUUGCCUUCUGAGGGGCACUAUGCUGUCUCCAGCAUGAAGCCAUGGGCUGCCAGUUCAGCCCUGUUAUUGUACUGUGUAACAAGAACCUGGAACAAGCAGGGCUAAUCAAAGUCCUUUAUUUAGAUGAUACAAUACGAAUAACAAAGCCCCGCUUAUUUUCCGCAAAGGGAUGUGUGAGAGGAUUUCUUUUGGAGGCAUGGGGAGUAUGCUCUGAGUAUAUCUUGUCUAGUUUUAAUGCUUAUUUCUGGUUUGGAUAACCUCAUUCAUGUGAUGUCCAAUCCCAUAAAAAGGACAGAAGUAAGGAUGAAAACUAACUUUGUGAUCCACAACCCUACAAUAUCCCACAGGCAUUUUCAACAAUAAAAAAGCUGUUCAUGUUCUUAAUUCUUCAUGAGAGACAAGAUGUUGUUUAUAACCACCACCAAAAAAAAAAAAAAAUCAAGCAAACUGCAAAUGCUUUACUUUUCACUAUUAUUAACUGCUCCCCAGCAAAUCAGCCCAUUUCUCUUCUGAAACAGUGAGAUGUGCCUAGCUGACACUUAAUAAAGAGAUGUUUGAGCUUGCCUAGCCUACAUUUCAGGAAAAAGUUAUUUUCCUCAGUUUAAUGAAAAUUCACUUUUUUUUGGUCCUUCUUUAUUCAUUUAUUUUUGAGGCCUUCCACCUCUGUUAACUGUGGGAAAAGACUUCACUUUGCCAGGGUACAGCAUGCAUUGUAAAAGUAAUUCAAUUUUACACCAUAGCAAUGACAUGAUCAAGGGAACUUUGAGCAGGCUUUGUGACCAAGAGCAUUUAACAAGUAUGUGAAAAGCUUCCAAAGAGCCCUCAUGAAAGAAAGAAAGGUUAUAACAAUAGGAGAGGCAGUUUGAUAGUGGUAAAUUAAGAGUCAUAGGAGUGACUCUAAUCAGGUUAAGCUUUAAAGAAAGAGAAGCACCUUUAUAUUUCUUGGGUAUAGGCCUGAGUGCAUUAAGAACUGUUGAAUUUGUGUUGGGAAGUACACAAAUCCCUGUGGCACUCAGCACUUGCUCCUCUUCGGGCUGAAGAAUUCAGCCCUGCAAGGAGAAAGACUUUCUAGGCAAAAUAAGUAAAACCUCAGAGUCGGACUGAGUAUCUUGGGAGAAGAAUAUUGAGUAUUUCUUAGUUUUAGUCAAUACCUAGACCUCUUUAGAAGUCAUCAUAUUCCAUUUUGUUCCCUGUGGAAACCUUCUGGCAAUGCCAGUGUAAACGUGGGGACCGUCUGGUGCAUAAAAGCAAUGAUGAACCAUUCACACACAUUACUAGUUUUUAAGAUCUGUGCAGCCUGUGAUAGAUUCUGCCCUGAGCUAUACAGUGAAGUACAUGUACCUCAUGCAAAUGACACAUAUUUAUACAUACUGUGUGUAUUCAUAUGCAUAUCAGGUAAAAUGGUUCUGGGCAUAUCAUUAAAACUUAGAGUUGGUAAAGAGUGUGCAUAGAGAUGUAUGCUUUAACAGAGAAUCCAGCUAUCUAAAAAAAUAACACAGAAACAAAUAGGUUAUCAAGUUGCUAGGUCUAGUUUUGUUGUUUCUCACAUAUGGCUUAAUCAACACCUUUUACAUAUCUAUCGCUGUGAAAAAUGCUCAGGAUUUAUUUUGCCCAGGAAAAUUAUUAUAACUUUGUUGGAAAAAAGUAAGACAUUACAAAGCUGGGGCUGCCUCAGUUUUGCAAUCGACAGGGACACCUACAGGAAGACAAAAUUAACACAUUGGCAUAUUGGGUGUUUUCUGCUUUAUUUGUUCACAGCUUGAGCCUAUUACCUAAUAGAGACACGAGAAAAUGGCCCAUCUGUUUGCAGUGGGCAAAUGUGUGAGUAGUACUCUCUGGAGCUGCAUGGGAGAAGGGUUGCUUUUCAAGAACGUAUUUACUUUACUCUCUGUUUUCUCAACGGUGUGUAUAACUCAAUACUAAAAGGCUAAUUUGUUUAAGAAAACCAAACCUGACUUCUUCAGUUAAUUGCUUACAGAAGAGCUGUACGUAUUGCAUGGGUUCUGUGUGCUUUGCUGAGUGGACUGGAGUGGCCUCCACUAUGUGACCAGUGAGGAUGUGUAAAAGCCAGCUCGAUGGCAGCAAACCACUCAUUGUUCCUGUCCUGCUUGCUCUGGUGGGGCUGCAGCUCUUGGAAAAGUUCAAGGAUGUGUAAGGAGUGGGAGAGAGAUGAAAGUCUGUCUAUCAAGGGAUGGGGAUGAAGCAGCUGGGAGGGAAAGUCUGCUCAGGGGCACAUGGGAUUUGGGAUAUGAUUAAUGCUUUGGCAAAAUGUUAACAAGAACAGGAUCUGGCAACUGAGAGGAAAUGCCUAUGUGUUCUCUUGCAAUCAGCCUUGAGCUGGAAUAGGAGCCUAUGCUCGUGCCAAAGUGAAUUCAAGCAUUUGCAUGUACAUGAGUGGAAACACGCUGUAAUAGAAAACAUGGAAUUUGGAGACCUGCAUCCUGCUGGACCUAUUCCUCUAGUGGGAGCUGGGUCUUCUUUGCAGCUCCUUUUAUCAGGAGAGAGACAGAAGAGAGUUUUGGUAAACAGCAGCACACUCUCCAAACAAUAUCAACAGUCAAUGUAUCUUCUUCUCAGAAACUUUGCCACUCAGGCUUAUUAAACAAUUUUUAAAUCUCCUUCAGUAGAAAUCACUGAUGCCAGAGGUAGCCUUUACUUCUCUCUAGUCUGCAGGGACAGAACUGCUUGAAGGUAUUAGCUAUGCUAAGCCUCUUAAAUAACUAUUAAACACAUAAAACUCUUAAAUGCACACAAAUCCUGUGUAGCAAAAGGCAAACAAUAAGGAAAAGCUGAUCAACCAUUAUACAGCAAUUUAAUCUAUGCAAUUUGCAUAAUUUUGCCCAACAGAAGGAGGCUGGAGCAGAACUGCCUUCUGAAGAAAGACAGAAAUCCUGUACCAAACAGUGGACUUAUGUGUUGGCAUCCUGUACCUGAGCUUCAACUGCAGACAAACUGCAGCUACCUGCAACAUCUGUGCAUGUGUGGCACCUUCACACCUGGAGAGAUUGAAGAGUGGUGACUUCUAAGCAGUCUGCUUUACAAAUGGCCACAAGGCAAAUGAGCCACUGGUACCAGGACUCAGGACCACUCCAUGCAAUAGCCUCUGGGGCUCCUACAGAAACUGUUUUCUCUAGUUUACAGUCUGUAAGGAAUAUCCACUAUUAUGUUCCCAGCAAUCUGAUGGCCAUCAAUGCCUUGAUGAUAAACUGGAAAUCUUCACCUUCUUCUGUCCUCACCCCUCAAAUGACCCAUGAAAGAGUCUUGGAGAUCAAAGAAAUCUUCUUCCAUCCUUAUCCUUUGGACAGAAAAACUGAUGGGAUUUAGCACCCAUGUGGGAAUAUGAGCAUUGGUAACUGGGGAGUGGUAGGGGUGGAAAAUGGUUGGGGGAGGUGGUGGUGGAGGAGCCCAGAAGAUGAAUUACCUGGGGAGGAGGUACAUACUGAAUUGUGGUUUCCAUAACAAGUGUGAGAGGACAGAAGAGAAAUUACUUCCGCUGCCCCAAAUAAAGAUCAAGGAGUAUUUGCAUUCAAAGGGGUUGGGUUGUGCACAUACCUCUUCAGUCACCUUCUUUUAACUGGAAAUCCUCACUAAUUAAUUGCUCUGUAAAUUCUGCUUCUGCACAUCAUAUAACUUGAAGGGCUUGCUUGUUUCUCCAGUACUCACCGCAUGUGUUCCUUGCCCUUGUGUUUUGCUCUCCAAAGCCAAAUUAAAACUAUAAAGGAGUUAGAUGAGAAAA